rnacentral:lncRNA from 1 species
UUAUUUUAAACAUUUUCCAACGUGAUUGGGAAAAAAAAACAAAAAAUGACUUGGGAUGUUACCUACGUGUUUGAUGAUCUUCAUCAUCAAUAAAUUAUCAAUUUUGAGUUCCUGAUUAUUCUCAUCGGCAUCUUGAUUUCCACCAUCACAACUGCCACCACCCCCUCCACCAUCAAACACCCAAGAAAACCUAACCCACGUACAUCACUUACAAUCAUCGCUGCCCUCUCCACCAUGGAAUUCGAACAACUCUACCUCUCCUUCGACACCAAAAUAUAAACUCUGUUCCCAAAUCUCUGUUGCCUAACCCUAAAUUCUAUCGGAUCAUCUAGUUGGUCGGUGGCUUUGACCUUGUAUGGAGCUGGAGAGUGGGGAUGCUAAUUCCGCUCUUCUUUUCACCGCCCUUUCUCUUUGGCCCACUCAUUUCCACCCAUCCCCCUCUCGGCCCACCAUUUCUCCUUCUUCCUUGUCCUGCUUCUUCCGAUCUGCUUGGUUCUGUUUAGUCUUACCGGUGACGUACUACAAUGGGAACCUUCAAAAAUCUCCUCUAUUAUAUGCCAAGUCCGAGGGUUUAUAAAUUGUAUGGCGUUCUUGCGAGAUUAGUAGAGGGUGAUCGUGUGUAGCCUGAAUUUUGGGGUUUAUUAUCUGAGCUGGGGAUCGAUUUGGGUUCUUGUCUAGGGGUUUGGAUUUGUUCUGGUGAUGGUUUGGCAGAUGGAUCUGCUCAUGAUCUGAUAAAUUGUGUGCAUAUUGGUUAUCUUUUCAUUAUCAGAUUUUUGGUGUUUUAUUUUCUUUUUGGUUUGUUUUACUGCAGCUAGUUCAGUUCUGGGUUGGACUAGACUUCGUCGUUCCAACCUGUUUGAUUUGGGUUGUUCUUAUUUCGUCUGACCUGGGUUUUUUCAUAUUUGUUGUUAUUUUUCCUGUGUUGGUUCGGUUGUUUCCUCUGAUUUUUUGUUUGAAAUUCUGGGGCUUGAAGUAUUGAUUUUCACGUUCCGAUUCGUUCUAUUUACUGUUUAUCGUUUUUUGUUUGAAUCUUUUGGGGUGUUUUUCACCGGUGCAAUUAUCUUUUCGGCUAUUCUGGUGGUUGGAUUUGGAAUUUUGGUCUUAUGGCCUGUUCCAGUGGAUCCAUGUGCUAUAUGUUCAAUCUAUUGAUUGGUGG